rnacentral:rRNA from 1 species
GUGCCCCUACGGGAGGCAGCAGUGAGGGAUAUUGGGCAAUGGGGGAAACCCUGACCCAGCGACGCCGCGUGAGGGAAGACGGUCUUCGGAUUGUAAACCUCUGUCUUUGGGGACGAAAAAGGACGGUACCCAAGGAGGAAGCUCCGGCUAACUACGUGCCAGCAGCCGCGGUAAUACGUAGGGAGCGAUCGUUGUCCGGAAUUAUUGGGUGUAAAGGGAGCGUAGGCGGGACUGCAAGUUGGGUGUCAAAUCUACCUGCUCAACCGGUAGCCGCACUCA